AAAUUGAAGAGUUUGAUCAUGGCUCAGAUUGAACGCUGGCGGCAGGCCUAACACAUGCAAGUCGAACGGUAACAGGAAGCAGCUUGCUGCUUUGCUGACGAGUGGCGGACGGGUGAGUAAUGUCUGGGAAACUGCCUGAUGGAGGGGGAUAACUACUGGAAACGGUGGCUAAUACCGCAUAACGUCGCAAGACCAAAGAGGGGGACCUUCGGGCCUCUUGCCAUCAGAUGUGCCCAGAUGGGAUUAGCUUGUUGGUGAGGUAACGGCUCACCAAGGCGACGAUCCCUAGCUGGUCUGAGAGGAUGACCAGCCACACUGGAACUGAGACACGGUCCAGACUCCUACGGGAGGCAGCAGUGGGGAAUAUUGCACAAUGGGCGCAAGCCUGAUGCAGCCAUGCCGCGUGUAUGAAGAAGGCCUUCGGGUUGUAAAGUACUUUCAGCGGGGAGGAAGGUGUUGUGGUUAAUAACCACAGCAAUUGACGUUACCCGCAGAAGAAGCACCGGCUAACUCCGUGCCAGCAGCCGCGGUAAUACGGAGGGUGCAAGCGUUAAUCGGAAUUACUGGGCGUAAAGCGCACGCAGGCGGUCUGUCAAGUCGGAUGUGAAAUCCCCGGGCUCAACCUGGGAACUGC
rnacentral:rRNA from 1 species